rnacentral:rRNA from 1 species
UACAGAGGGGGCAAGCGUUGUUCGGAAUUACUGGGCGUAAAGGGCGCGUAGGCGGCCUGUUAAGUCAGACGUGAAAUCCCUCGGCUCAACCGGGGAACUGCGUCUGAUACUGGCGGGCUUGAAUUCGGGAGAGGGAUGUGGAAUUCCAGGUGUAGCGGUGAAAUGCGUAGAUAUCUGGAGGAACACCGGUGGCGAAGGCGGCAUCCUGGACCGGCAUUGACGCUGAGGCGCGAAAGCUAGGGGAGCAAACGGG